rnacentral:lncRNA from 10 species
GGGAGGAGCAGCCCAUUUCCAAGCCGGGAUGCAGUUCCAGGGCAGGCAGUAGAGGCCCAGGUGCAACCCCCAGCCCAGGAGGAGACUUGACUCGCCUGAGGUCAGCUGGAGCCAGGAACACCUUUGUGCAACAGCUGCCGUGGCCCAUCUGUGAGAGACACGUGGACCCCGUGCCUCGAAACAGGCAGUGUUGUAAGCACGGGGACAGAGACGUACGUGAGCAGAUGGAACCCCCGAAGACCUGCAGCUGUCAUCCUGGGACUGUGUGCCCGGCACUGUGCUAAAUGCUCCCUGGGGCAUCUCGUGUAACCUUUGCAGGAACCCUAAAAACGACGAUCAGAUUAGCCUCCUCCUCUUGAAAAUGGAGACAAAAUUCAAAUAACAUAAACUUCACCACUUUAACCAUUUUAUUUUAUUUACAUAUUUUUUUUGAGACAGAGUCUCGCUCUGUUGCCAGGCUGGAGUGCAGUGGUGCGAUGUAGGCUCUCUGCAACCUGGGCCUCCCGGGUUCAAGCAAUUCUGUCUCAGCCUCCCGCGCAGCUGGGACUGCAGGGGUGUUCCACCACACCCAGCCAAUUUUUGUAUUUUUAGUAGAGACAGGGUUUCCACAUGUUGGCCAGGAUGGUUUCGGUCUCUUGACCUCAUGAUCUGCCCGCCUUGGCCUCCCAAAGUGCUGGGAUUACAGGCAUGAGCCACUGCACCUGGCCCACUUUAACUAUUUUAAAGGGUACAAUUCAGUGGCGUUCAGUGCAGUCAUGAGGUUGUGCAGCCACCACCUGUAUCUCAUUUCAGAAUAUGCCCAUCACUCCAAAAGGAAAACCCUAUCCCCACGAUCCGUGGUUCCCCAGCCCCCUGGCCCCCAGCCCUAAGCAGCCACUAAGCUGCCUUCUGUCUCUACGGAUUGCCGGUUUUGGGUAUUUCAUGUCGAUGGGAUCAGUGUGUGGCCUUGUGUCUGGCUUCUGUCUCCAGGCAUAUGUUGUCAAGGGCUAUCAUUCCUUUUCUUGGCCAAAUAAUGCUCCAUGUUGUGGACACAUCGUAUUUUGUUUAUCCGUUCACCUGCUGAUGCAUGCCAGAUGGUUGUUUCCAACUUUUUAAUUCCCAUUAUAAAGAUAAGGAAACUGGCCAGGUGCGGUGGCUCAAGCCUGUAAUCCCAGCACUUUGGGAGGCCAAGGCGGGUGCAUCACCUGAGGUCGGGAGUUUGAGACCAGUCUGACCCACACAGCGAAACCCCGUCUCUACUAAAAAUACAAAAAAUCAGCUGGGCGUGGUGGUGUGAGCCUGUAAUCCCAGCUACUCAGAAGGCUGAGGCAUGAGAAUCACUUGAACCUGGGAGGCGAAGGUUGCAGUGAGCUGAGAUCGCGCCACUGCGCUUCAGCCUGGGAGACAGAGACUCUGUCUCUAAAUAAAUAAAUAAACAAACAAAUAAAUAAAUGUAAACUGAGGCUAAACCGCUCCACUCAGGGUCAACACCUGCCCUGUGACCCAGCAGUUCCACUUUUCGGUAUUUAUCUAGGAGAAAUGAGAACACAUGUCCACACAAAGACCUGUGCACAAAUGUUCACAGCAUCUUUCUCUGUAAUAACUUCGAGCUGGCAACGAUCCAAAUAUCCAUCCACAGGAGCUGGGUAAACAAACCGUGGUGUCAUCCUGGAGUGGGACGCUCCUCAUCAGGAAAGAGGAAAGAAUGACCCAUGCACGCAGCAGCUUGGAAGAGUCUCAAAAACAAGAUGCCAAUGAAGGAAGCCAGGCACGGGACUGCAACUGUAAGCUGUGACUCUGUGUGACUCCAGCGGUACGAACUUCCAGGAAAAGCAAAAAUAUGGGACAGAGUAUCCACAAGUGGCAUUCAGGGACUGGAGUGGGAACUGGCAGGGAAAGGGGAAAUGUAUUGAUUAUUUCGAUUGCAGUGGUGGGGAGGAGGGUGGACACCUGUGCCAAACUCACUUAAAACGGAUGUAUUUUAUUGUAUAAAUUAUGCCUCAAUGAAAUCCAUUCAUAAAAAGAA